rnacentral:rRNA from 1 species
UGGGGAGUACGGCCGCAAGGCUAAAACUCAAAGGAAUUGACGGGGACCCGCACAAGCGGCGGAGCAUGCGGAUUAAUUCGAUGCAACGCGAAGAACCUUACCAAGGCUUGACAUAUACGAGAACGGGCCAGAAAUGGUCAACUCUUUGGACACUCGUAAACAGGUGGUGCAUGGUUGUCGUCAGCUCGUGUCGUGAGAUGUUGGGUUAAGUCCCGCAACGAGCGCAACCCUCGUUCUAUGUUGCCAGCACGUAAUGGUGGGAACUCAUGGGAUACUGCCGGGGUCAACUCGGAGGAAGGUGGGGAUGACGUCAAAUCAUCAUGCCCCUUAUGUCUUGGGCUUCACGCAUGCUACAAUGGCCGGUACAAAGGGCUGCAAUACCGUGAGGUGGAGCGAAUCCCAAAAAGCCGGUCCCAGUUCGGAUUGAGGUCUGCAACUCGACCUCAUGAAGUCGGAGUCGCUAGUAAUCGCAGAUCAGCAACGCUGCGGUGAAUACGUUCCCGGGUCUUGUACACACCGCCCGUCAAGUCAUGAAAGUCGGUAACACCUGAAGCCGGUGGCCCAACCCUUGUGGAGGGAGCCGUCNAAGGUGGGAUCGGUAAUUA